rnacentral:piRNA from 1 species
UGAGAAGGUGGAAUCCUCACUGGCC